rnacentral:rRNA from 1 species
AGUGAACGCUGGCGGUAGGCCUAACACAUGCAAGUCGAACGGCAGCACAGUAAGAGCUUGCUCUUACGGGUGGCGAGUGGCGGACGGGUGAGGAAUAUAUCGGAAUCUACUUUUUCGUGGGGGAUAACGUAGCGAAACUUACGCUAAUACCGCAUACGACCUACGGGUGAAAGCAGGGGAUCUUCGGACCUUGCGCGAUUGAAUGAGCCGAUGUCGGAUUAGCUAGUUGGCGGGGUAAAGGCCCACCAAGGCGACGAUCCGUAGCUGGUCUGAGAGGAUGAUCAGCCACACUGGAACUGAGACACGGUCCAGACUCCUACGGGAGGCAGCAGUGGGGAAUAUUGGACAAAGGGCGCAAGCCUGAUCCAGCCAUACCGCGUGGGUGAAGAAGGCCUUCGGGUUGUAAAGCCCUUUUGUUGGGAAAGAAAAGCAGCAGGUUAAUACCCCGCUGUUCUGACGGUACCCAAAGAAUAAGCACCGGCUAACUUCGUG